GAUGAACGCUGGCGGCGUGCCUAAUACAUGCAAGUCGAGCGAACGGACGAGAAGCUUGCUUCUCUGAUGUUAGCGGCGGACGGGUGAGUAACACGUGGAUAACCUACCUAUAAGACUGGGAUAACUUCGGGAAACCGGAGCUAAUACCGGAUAAUAUUUUGAACCGCAUGGUUCAAAAGUGAAAGACGGUCUUGCUGUCACUUAUAGAUGGAUCCGCGCUGCAUUAGCUAGUUGGUAAGGUAACGGCUUACCAAGGAACGAUGCAUAGCCGACCUGAGAGGGUGAUCGGCCACACUGGAACUGAGACACGGUCCAGACUCCUACGGGAGGCAGCAGUAGGGAAUCUUCCGCAAUGGGCGAAAGCCUGACGGAGCAACGCCGCGUGAGUGAUGAAGGUCUUCGGAUCGUAAAACUCUGUUAUUAGGGAAGAACAUAUGUGUAAGUAACUGUGCACAUCUUGACGGUACCUAAUCAGAAAGCCACGGCUAACUACGUG
rnacentral:rRNA from 1 species